rnacentral:rRNA from 1 species
CGGGUGAGUAAUACAUCGGAACGUGUCUUCUAGUGGGGGAUAACUGCCCGAAAGGGCAGCUAAUACCGCAUGAGACCUGAGGGUGAAAGCGGGGGAUCGCAAGACCUCGCGCUGGAAGAGCGGCCGAUGUCCGAUUAGCUAGUUGGUGAGGUAAAGGCUCACCAAGGCGACGAUCGGUAGCUGGCCUGAGAGGACGACCAGCCACACUGGGACUGAGACACGGCCCAG